GAAUUUAACAUGAUAUACCAAUUCAAUAUUUGGUUGUGCACACACUCAAAUUGAAAUUGAUCCAUCUUCGUCUCCACUGCGCCCAACCCCAUCGUCGCUCCUCCUCCCAUCACCAGCACCAUUCAUAGUCCCUCCCACUCCUCAUCCGUGAGCUAGCCCCAUCGCUGCUCCUCCUCCGUGAGCCAGCUCCAUCGCUCCUCC
rnacentral:lncRNA from 1 species